ensembl:lncRNA
GGUGGCUAAAAAUAAACAAAUCCACAAUCCUGAUGUAGAAAACAACAAGUAGAGCAAGAUGAAGGCCAUGGGUUUUUAGUCUGAUAUACUGUAAUCCUGUACUGUGUGUGUAAUCCUGUACUGUGUGUGUAAUCCUGUACUGUGUUUUAAUCCUGUACUGUGUGUGUAAUCCUGUACUGUGUUUUAAUCCUGUACUGUGUGUGUAAUCCUGUACUGUGUGUGUAACCCUGUAGUUUAAUCCUGUACUGUGUGUGUAAUCCUGUACUGUGUGUGUAAUCCUGUACUGUGUGUGUAACCCUGUAGUUUAAUCCUGCACUGUGUGUGUAAUCCUGUACUGUAAUCCUGUACUGUAAUCCUGUAAGAGCGUGACCUUUCAGGGUUAUUUCAAUCAAUAUUUUUGUUUGUGAUUGAAUAUGAAGUUGCAACUUCUAACUGUUUUGAUCAGUCUGCAGACCUUAUUCGUAAUUGGCAAUCGCGAUGACAUCGUUGAUUUUUUCAAUAGGGUGCUGCGCUGCGUUCAAUGCCUACAGCAAGACCCAGGAGAGGAGAGAUUUUUUAGAGAGCUUGAUGACCACACCAUUACCCUAAAUUCUAUGUUGUCUAUGGUUCAUUCUAGGGAAGGACCUGAUGGAGAGACUGUUGUUUUUUUUGGAGUCGAUAUGUUUUUGUUUUAAUAGGUUUGGUAACUUUAGAACUAGAAGAAGAGAUCAAGAAAACUGCCCUCCUCCUGUUCCACCUACAGCCAGAAAUGGCCUUCCAUGUCGCCCAC